rnacentral:rRNA from 1 species
UACGUAGGGUGCGAGCGUUGUCCGGAAUUAUUGGGCGUAAAGGGCUCGUAGGCGGUCUGUUGCGUCGGGAGUGAAAACUCAGGGCUUAACCCUGAGCCUGCUUCCGAUACGGGCAGACUAGAGGUAUGCAGGGGAGAACGGAAUUCCUGGUGUAGCGGUGAAAUGCGCAGAUAUCGGGAGGAACACCGGUGGCGAAGGCGGUUCUCUGGGCCUGUACUGACGCUGAGGAGCGAAAGCGUGGGGAGCAAACAGG